GGAGCUCUUAUUACUUUUUGAGUGUCAGCAAGUUAAGACAUCAUCUCCAGAAAACUGUGCUAGUUGGCAUCCAGCAGUGCCCAAGUAUUAUUUAACCCACUAGAACCUGUGACUGCAUCAGCUUUAUAUCCUGGACCUCAGCCUGGAACAAAGGAGAGCUACACUUGGAUACUAAACACAAGUGGUCUGGAUAGAUUAUGCUGGGAAAAGAAGCCUGGAGCAGGCAGUACAGUGGGAGAACAAGGAGAGAAUGGAGUUGCAGCAGACUGCUCAGGAAUUGUACAUCACCAGUAGCUUCUGUCUCAGCUAAGUGUGGGAGACUGAUACUGAUGAGCCAUUAACAAUGGUGGAGAUUCUGAAUCACUGAAGCACUUGAUAAAAGAAAUGUCGUGGGUGAUGUGAAAAUCUACAUAUGCCCAUGAGAGUAUAUUGAGUUUGUAAGUGUUGUUGCUUAGUGUGUCACAGAGAAGUUUA
rnacentral:lncRNA from 1 species